rnacentral:lncRNA from 1 species
GGGGUACCUGCCCCGGUCGGGUACCGUGGUGCCACGGGUGUUGCCCCCGGCAGAUGCAGCAGAGCUGCAGGGACGCUGCACCUGUGGGGCACGGGCCUCCCCUUCCCUUAGUGGGUGAGGAAAGCACAUCCAGGAAACAACAGCUGAUACACCUAAGAGGGCAGUGGGAGAUGAAGGAAUGCAUGUGGUGAAAGAAUGCUUGGUGACACCGUCUGUCCGUGGGGAGGCACUGAAAUGCCCCCAUCGAGGGCAACAUUAGAGCCGUUUGUCCCAGCAGGUCACUCCUGUUCACGUAUCCCCUCCCUCCCCAAGCUCACGCAGAGUGCCCAGCGCUUGGAGCUCGCAGCCGCCUCCCUGGGCAGCCCUGGCGGAGCAGUGGGCAAGGCCAGGGCGCCCAGACCCUGCCGGCUCAGGGGAACGAGGCCUGAGAGGGCGAGGGUUCCUGUCGCCUGUCACCGCGCUGCCUCGUGCCCCGCCGGCGUCCGGGCCCUGUGGCGGGCGCCUCUCGCCUCUGAGGUGAUGCGGGUUUGGAGGCGGGCCGCCCCCGCCCCCCGGCGCAGCCUGCCCGCCCGCCUGCGCGCCGUGUGCGGGGCGGCCGUGCGCCGAGGCGGCGCGGCGCGGAGCGGAGCGGAGCAUGGGGCGGCCGGCGGCCGGGCAGCAGCUGCGCCCGGGGCCGGGGCCGCCGCUGCGGCUGCUCCUGCUGCUGGGCGUCCUCCUGCUGCGCGGCGGAGCGGCGGCGGGGACGGGGGCCGAGCCGUGCCAGGCGCCGCGGCAGUGGGAAGGGCGCACCGUGUUCUACGAGCAUGGCUCGGGCCGCAACACGCGGGCCGCCGUCUCCUACGACGGCCCCAACCAGCGCCUCCGCAUCCUGGAGGAGAGGAAGGCACUCAUCCCCUGCAAGAACCUGCCAAGCUCAGGGUGGAAGAAUUGAUGGGCCUAGAGAGGCCUUCCUGAGUGAGACAUUUCCAGCUGCUGAGUGUCAGUCACUUUCAGACAACAUGUCAAAACAUUCCUGCCAGUGUGAGAGUAGCAGGUCUGUCCAUACCUCUGCUCUCCCACCUAUGAAUUGUUCAAAUAAUAGUGCAUCCGUCCUGGGGAUGUUUGAGACAAGGUAAUGACAAGGUCAUACAAAUGCUGUGUCAUCCAAACUAAUGGUCUCUCCUGUUAAAAGAUCAAUAUUCCUUUUUCCUGCUGGUUUUUUUUCCCUGACAAUCAAUUUCAUACCAACAUCGCACAGUAAUUGUUUUAAUCUUUCCAAAACAUGUGCUCUUCUGUGAUCCUUUUCUCUCCAAAUCCCCUGACACUUGUAGAACUGUUUUGUGUGUUUCAUUUUCAGGCUUAACUGUCCCUCAUUGUCAGCUUUUUUCAUUACUGUUUUUGCAUAGGAGCCACGUGAAGAAUGUUCAAAGCAACAUAGAGCUUUUUGCUGGUGGUCUGCUGACAUACAGCAUGGAGUCUGACACUGGCCAUGGCGUGCUCAUGUUGCCUUAUUCUGCAAGUCCUAGGUUAACUUUAACAUUUGACAAGCAUAAAAUUGUGUCACAAAGCCUGAUGCAAGUUUUUUCUAGAUUCUGAGUUGUACUACACUUCAAGCUUAUGUUUACUUUAUUUGAAAACUUCAUUUUAAGAUUGAAUAAUUACUCUUCAGUUUAGACUGUGGGCCAGAUUUUGUCUUUUUCCAAGAUCUUAUAUUUUUACAUUUUUGAUAAAUACCUGCUGUGGAUGCAGUUUUGUCUGGGUUUGUAGCAAUAGAAAGAGGCAGAGUGCACACAGGUGUGCUUGUUGAUUUCUCCUAUAUUAGAUUUUUGUUGUAGACAAAUUUCUGACCUCAGAAGUCUUUAAUUUUUCUGCCAUCCAAAGUUGGAGAAGGGCUGAUUUUGUUAUAUGGGCAGUAGUGUCUGCUCAGGGCAUGACCCAAGCUUCCAUUUAAGUCAACAGAAAGUCUCCCAUUGGUUUCAGUAUGUGUUGGAUCAGGUCUAGAAUUGUGAUCACAACUUCAUUUCAGUGUGGACACAGUGACUUGGUAACCAAAGUUUUCAAAAGUUAGAGGCAAAGGGAUUUAUCCUGUCUUUUGAAAAAUAACCUCUCCUCCCCCCUGUUUUGACAUUGACAAGAAAGGGGUAAUUAUGCCGAGGCAGUGAGUACAAAAUCAACAAGAAAAUCAACAAGAAAAAUAGUGCUGCCCUGGUCUGUAAGGAAAUUUCAGUCUAAAUUUUCACAUUUUGCUCCUAUCAGAUGUAACUUAUGUACAGCGAUCAGGGUUGGCCAACAACCACAUUUUUCUACAGAGCAUUUUCUGAAGCUUGCAAAUGUGGACUUUAAUCAGACACAGCCCUGUUUGAGUUAUUGGCUGAGGUUAAUCAAGGACACAAAGAUUUGCCUGUGUGGAAUGGCUUGCAGGCUCAUAACCGCAGGAAAACAUGAAACUUUCAGGUUUUAUUGUAGAUCUAUGUUUCAAAUUCAUGUGUUCUGCCAUGUGGCAUUUUCAUACCUACAUCCGCCCAGUAAAACAUACCUACCUCAACUCCAGACCAGUAGCCAUAAGGUAAACACCCAGUUGCUGCUUCAUUAACAUCACUUCUUUGUCCAUCAGUUGUUUUGAGAUCACCUGAGAUGGAGUGACCACAUUGGUAAAGGCUGCCCAUUCCCCAUUGUCCAGCUGCACUGUGUCACCUGCCACCUGGGCACACACCUCGCUUGCCAGACAGCCAACAGAGCCAGCUCAUUAGGGAAGUCAUAGCUGUGGUUUCAGAAAACCAGCUUGUUGGGUGGGUGUUUCUCUAGGUCACACAAUUGGCUCCUGCACUCUGGCUCAGAGUGUAAAAACCACCAGCAGUGAUCCUAGGCUGAGAUUUUUCAAGGAGAACCUAUUCCAGUUGGAUUCAUUUCUGGGCUUUCUUUUUCACUUUUACAGACCCAGCCUUAGCUACACUCUGCUUCUUUUGUUUUCUCCAGCAUGCCUUGCCCUGCUGCUUAUUGGCCCUUCAGGAUCAAAUUUUUUGAGAUAGACAGAGUGGGCAGAGACAAUCUUAAAAGUUUCGUGUGGUGCUCAGCUGAUACUGAUAGCAGAAGAGAAAAGAAAACAAACAUUGAGUAUGUUGUGCUGUUUCCUGUUUGGACUAGGUCAUUCCUGGUAUAAUGUGAAAGGGGAGCACUUGAAGCAGCUCCUUAGACCUCUUGAGGCAAAGCUGAGUUCCUGCUGUUAAACACAGAACGUUUUUUUUAGUCCUUUGUGGCCUACUGUAUGAAGUUACUUCCUCUUGUGCUCUCUGGAUGUUGAACCUUCCUCACUCUUGUUCAACCUCUGUUGGCCUUUAUCCCAGGACACUUACAAAAUAGGUAGCAGUCACCAGCAUGGUUUUCAAAUGGAGCAGGACCUUCUUUUUGAGGUAACUUCAAAUGCUGUAGGUUUGAGUAUGUCAUCUCUGCAAACUGGUGAGAAAUCCUGGCACAAAGAAGUCCAGACAAAAAAUCCUACUGACUGCACUGUGGCCAGAACUUCAUGUCGUCCAUCACCUUUGAUUUUCUUGGAGAAAUAGAGCAAGGGUUGUGCUCUUCAGCACUACUGAAGCCACUCAACAGGUGUUAGUGCUCAGUUAUGAAGAAAGAAAAACAUGAAGUGAGGAGCAGAGCAGAAAUAGUACAGGUGGUGUUUGCGAGCUGGAGUAUGGCAUACUUGCCAUAUGCUGUGUUCACAGAGUUUCACACUUAUCUUCCAUACUGUUUUCCAUGGAGUGAUUUUCAGGGAAGGCCCAAUAACAUACUGUCUUAUGAGAAAUGUGAUGGUGGGAAGAAAAAAAUGUCCAUGUGGUCAAGAAAGUGAGUAGGAGGAAGAAAAUGCUUUUUGUUUUUUCUUCUAUGCAUGUAUUUUAACAGUAACCUCCUUGGCCUAUUGUACAGUACUCAGCACAUUAAGAUGCCUGUAUAUUUGCAACUGUCAGGGUUGGUGUCUUAAAAACUGUAACUGCAUAGCAGAAGAACAAUCAGGAGGGACCCUAUCAGUGUUAAUUUAUAAACCAGAAGUACAUGUUGUUAAAUUCCUUUAGUUCUAUCAUAUUUGCAAAAGAUAGGCACAGUUAAGGGGAUGAUACACUCCUCACCUGGCCACACAAACUGCUGGGGUGAUAGAGGAGUGACAAAGCUAUGUUUAGAGAAGUAAGUCUCUUAUUCUGGCAGGCUCUUUGCCUGUGUGUGUCAAUCCCUGUCCUUGACUGAGGAGAGGCAGCAUAAGGUCAGGUGCAAUUAUAACAACAUUCAUCUGGAGAAGAGGUGAUGACUUUUCAAAAUAAACAGAGUGUGGGCACACGUGUCUGACUUAUC